rnacentral:rRNA from 1 species
AUGAACGCUAGCUACAGGCUUAACACAUGCAAGUCGAGGGGCAGCAUCAUCAAAGCUUGCUUUGAUGGAUGGCGACCGGCGCACGGGUGAGUAACACGUAUCCAACCUGCCGACAACACUGGGAUAGCCUUUCGAAAGAAAGAUUAAUACCGGAUGGCAUAGUUUUCCCGCAUGGGAUAAUUAUUAAAGAAUUUCGGUUGUCGAUGGGGAUGCGUUCCAUUAGGCAGUUGGCGGGGUAACGGCCCACCAAACCUACGAUGGAUAGGGGUUCUGAGAGGAAGGUCCCCCACAUUGGAACUGAGACACGGUCCAAACUCCUACGGGAGGCAGCAGUGAGGAAUAUUGGUCAAUGGACGAGAGUCUGAACCAGCCAAGUAGCGUGAAGGAUGACUGCCCUAUGGGUUGUAAACUUCUUUUAUACGGGAAUAAAGUUAGCCACGUGUGGCUUUUUGUAUGUACCGUAUGAAUAAGGAUCGGCUAACUCCGUGCCAGCAGCCGCGGUAAUACGGAGGAUCCGAGCGUUAUCCGGAUUUAUUGGGUUUAAAGGGAGCGUAGGCGGGUUGUUAAGUCAGUUGUGAAAGUUUGCGGCUCAACCGUAAAAUUGCAGUUGAUACUGGCGACCUUGAGUGCAACAGAGGUAGGCGGAAUUCGUGGUGUAGCGGUGAAAUGCUUAGAUAUCACGAAGAACUCCGAUUGCGAAGGCAGCUUACUGGAUUGUAACUGACGCUGAUGCUCGAAAGUGUGGGUAUCAAACAGGAUUAGAUACCCUGGUAGUCCACACAGUAAACGAUGAAUACUCGCUGUUGGCGAUAUACAGUCAGCGGCCAAGCGAAAGCAUUAAGUAUUCCACCUGGGGAGUACGCCGGCAACGGUGAAACUCAAAGGAAUUGACGGGGGCCCGCACAAGCGGAGGAACAUGUGGUUUAAUUCGAUGAUACGCGAGGAACCUUACCCGGGCUUGAAUUGCAGAGGAAGGAUUUGGAGACAAUGACGCCCUUCGGGGCCUCUGUGAAGGUGCUGCAUGGUUGUCGUCAGCUCGUGCCGUGAGGUGUCGGCUUAAGUGCCAUAACGAGCGCAACCCUUACGGGUAGUUACCAUCAGGUUAUGCUGGGGACUCUACCCGGACUGCCGUCGUAAGAUGUGAGGAAGGUGGGGAUGACGUCAAAUCAGCACGGCCCUUACGUCCGGGGCUACACACGUGUUACAAUGGGGGGUACAGAAGGCAGCUACACGGCGACGUGGUGCUAAUCCCGAAAGCCUCUCUCAGUUCGGAUUGGAGUCUGCAACCCGACUCCAUGAAGCUGGAUUCGCUAGUAAUCGCGCAUCAGCCACGGCGCGGUGAAUACGUUCCCGGGCCUUGUACACACCGCCCGUCAAGCCAUGAAAGCCGGGGGUACCUGAAGUACGUAACCGCGAGGAGCGUCCUAGGGUAAAACUGGUGAUUGGGGCU